GCGGCGCGCCUAACACAUGCAAGUCGCACGAGAAAGGGGGGCAACCCCCGGUACAGUGGCGCACGGGUGAGUAACACGUGGGUGAUCUGCCCAGAAGAAGGGGAUAACCUCUCGAAAGGGGGGCUAAUACCGCAUAGGACCACCGGGGCUUUUGGCUCUGUGGUGAAAGGGGGCCUCUGUUUACAAGCUCCUGCUUCUGGAUGAGCCCGCGUCCCAUCAGCUAGUUGGUAGGGUAAUGGCCUACCAAGGCUACGACGGGUAGCUGGUCUAAGAGGAUGGCCAGCCACACUGGAACUGAGACACGGUCCAGACUCCUACGGGAGGCAGCAGUGGGGAAUCUUGCGCAAUGGGCGAAAGCCUGACGCAGCGACGCCGCGUGGGUGACGAAGGCCUUCGGGUUGUAAAGCCCUGUGGGGUAGAACGAACUGGCAUCGGGCUAAUAUCCCGGUGUCUUGACGGUACUGCCUUAGCAAGCAUCGGCUAACUCUGUGCCAGCAGCCGCGGUAAGACAGAGGAUG
rnacentral:rRNA from 1 species